rnacentral:rRNA from 1 species
CCCCGGGCUCAACCUGGGAACUGCAUUCGAAACUGGCAGGCUAGAGUCUUGUAGAGGGGGGUAGAAUUCCAGGUGUAGCGGUGAAAUGCGUAGAGAUCUGGAGGAAUACCGGUGGCGAAGGCGGCCCCCUGGACAAAGACUGACGCUCAGGUGCGAAAGCGUGGGGAGCAAACAGGAUUAGAUACCCUGGUAGUCCACGCCGUAAACGAUGUCGAUUUGGAGGUUGUGCCCUUGAGGCGUGGCUUCCGGAGCUAACGCGUUAAAUCGACCGCCUGGGGAGUACGGCCGCAAGGUUAAAACUCAAAUGAAUUGACGGGGGCCCGCACAAGCGGUGGAGCAUGUGGUUUAAUUCGAUGCAACGCGAAGAACCUUACCUGGUCUUGACAUCCACAGAACUUUCCAGAGAUGGAUUGGUGCCUUCGGGAACUGUGAGACAGGUGCUGCAUGGCUGUCGUCAGCUCGUGUUGUGAAAUGUUGGGUUAAGUCCCGCAACGAGCGCAACCCU